AACGUCGAUCCCGCACAUGCCUCUUCCGCUGCCACCUGAUUUAAUUUUUGAAAUAUCAGCGGCAUGGGCGGGUUCCCAACAGUGGUAUCAGAGCCUAGGCUUCGUAGAUUAAGGUAAGAAUUAAAUAUCUAAAGGCUUAUUAGAUCUGAAAAUUGAUUGAUCAUGCAUGCUGAAAAAUUCUGCAUGCAGAUUUUUCAGGGGUGCUGAUUUUAUACAUGCUGAUUUUUAUGUGAUAAAAGAUGAUUCUAAUUGCAUUGUUAAUGGGAUUACAAAGUUUAGAAUCAUGAUUAGCAUGAUCAGCGACCUAUGUCAUGAUAUAAUCAGUUGGUUUUCAGAUCUGAAAAUUAUAAUUGUUGCAUACGGUGAUGAUCAUAGGAUUCAAACCCUUUUGGUAUCAAAUGUAAUGACCUGUGAUGUGAUCUGCGAUGUCAUGUAAUUUUUCAGAUGCUUGCAUGCAUCUUAUUUGAUAUUUUGAGAGGCCUGCGUGCCUCCUAAAAGGAGAUGUAAUUUAUUUUUAUUUUUAUUUUACAUCUGGUUGUAUUUCUGUGAUGUGAUGUACAUCAACGAUCAAGCUGAAUCAAAGGCAUGAGAUG
rnacentral:lncRNA from 1 species